GCCGGGAUAGCUCAGUUGGGAGAGCAGCAGACUGAAGGCGUUGACCGUGGAAUGAACGCGGUCACGUGUUCUGAAGGUCCCGUGUUCAAUCCACGGUCCUGGCA